ensembl:lncRNA
GAGCGGGGGUGGUAGUAAAUAAAAGACCAUAUGGAAAGGCAGGAAGAAGAUGAGCUGGGAUACGUUGCCGCAGGAGGUAGCCCAGAGGAUGGCAGAAUCAGGCCCGAAAGGCUCCUCCCAGAAGCCCAUUCCCCAGCAGAAGCCAAGUCUCACAGGAUCUCGCGGGUUUGUAAGAGGUUGGCAAGAGGUUCCUGAAAGGGGAAACACCUGGGUGCCUCACUCAGAAUGGAGUUUGGUUCCCAUCGUCUACCCGGCCAAAGCCGCUCCUGGGGCUGCCUCCCCUCUUGCCGUUCUUCGUGAGUCUGUCUGUGUGGCGGCCUGUUCGUCCCAGCUGCACCCUCAGCUCUUAAGGACCCAGCUCAGGCCUGUGGCUGUGCAGGGGCUGGAGCACCCAAGGCCCGAGUGGGAGAGGGAACUGCUCGUGCUUGUGCUGCAAGUGCAUCAAGUUCUGAGAGGCCGAGGGGCCACGCCAGGAACCCAAGCUUCUGCUGUGGGCCACUGGGGCCCCAUCUAACGUCUGCAAGGUGCAGGACUGCACCAGGUCCAGGUGCGAGCCCUGCCAUCGCACCGAGCUUGUUUGUUUCUCUGCGCUGCGCCCGGAAGCAGUGAGGGGCCUAGGAGUCCUCCCCGGAGACCACGACCACCUGUUCCCAGAGACUUUCCCGGAAGAACAGCCUCAGGACCUCAGUGGAUUUGAUGAUGGCCACGUGCAUUGGGAAGGAUGAUCUGUGUCACCGAGUCCACGGAUUCAAACACUCAUCUCAUUUGGAGAUAGCCCACAGACACAUCAGAACUGCUUUUAAUCUCCAGGGAAGAUCCCCUGGAGCAGGGCAUGGCAACCCACUCAGGAGCCUGGCGGGCUACAGUCCAUGGGGUCGCAAAGAGUCAGACAUGACUGAGUGACUAAGCACCCCAUGACCAGUGAAGUUGACAUUAACCAUCGCAACCAUGUUGUUCUUCCAGUUUCACUCUUGUGUCCACACCCCAGGCUAAUGCAGGACAACUUGUUCAGUGGCCACUUUUCACUGUUCAGAAUGAAGUAAAGGGGUAACCUUCGCCCUACCCUGCCUCCUGCGACCUCUACAGGAGACCUCAGUCAGCCUCUCAAGCUAGACAGCAAGUUGGAGCAGGGUGCAGAGUGAAGCCAGAGGAGCCAGUGAACACCCCGUUCCUGUUUCUAAAGACAGUGAGAAUGCAGGCUUCGAGUUCAAUUGACUUGCCCAAGGUUAAGGACAAUGAUAAGAAACCAAGUCCUCCGGUCCCGCUUCAGCCCUCUUUCCAUCGUGCUUUUUCAUCGUUCUAGUCCGAGGACAGUUCUUGAUUCAGAAAUGCUAAGGUUUUUGUGUAUGGCUGAGUCCCUUCACCUGAAACUGUCACAACAUGGUUAAUUGGCUAUGUGCUCAGUUGCUUUAGCUGUGUCUGACUCAUUGCGACCCUGUGGACUAUAGCCCAUCAGGAUCCUUGUCCAUUGGAUUCUCCGGGCAAGAAUACUAGAGUGGGUUGCCAUGCCCUCCUCCAGGGGAUCUUCCCGACCCAGGGGUCAAAUCCAUGUCUCUUAAAUCUCCUGCAUUGGCAGGCAGGUUCUUUACCACUAGUGACACCUAGGAAACCCCCAAUACAAAAUGCUUUUGGUGUUGAAAAAAAUUAAAUGGUAAGGUCAUCCAUUGGACUUUGGAUUCUGGUUAAAGGGGCAGGCUUAGCUUUGACCAGUAAUUUCCUCUGUUAGGGUCAUCUGUGAUCCACUGUUGCUGUGUGGCUCUUCACAGGUCUAAAGACAGACCACAGCUAUUUAGGGGAAUAGGAGAGCGUGAAACUCUUUGGAACUUUUUACCCUACCGUCUCAGGUCAGCUACUUUCUCAGAAAGGGCAGGAAGAAUGUCAGCCGAACGGCAUAAGGGAGCUAGCUCACAGAACAUGGGUGCUAAUUCUGGCCCAGAAAUAUCCAAGAGGAUUCAUGUCUUUGAAAGCUGAACAGCUGCAAGCCAGCUCUUGGAUCCCUGGAUCCCUCUUGGAUCACAAAUAUAGACAUUUGUGCUAUAUUCGGCUGGCCUCCCAAAGGUUCCACGCUUGGCCUGCUUCUCAUAGAACGUUCUCUUCAAUGAGGUGGAUAACAGUUGUUGCCUAGCACUCCUUGAUAUGGUUUGGGGGUAAUGAUCUAGUGAGGAGGUAACCUGAGACCUGGCCGCCAAGAAGAACCAACAUUCAUCACAGCCACUGUGACCCAUUACUUGGAGCUGAACUCAUGAUUUUUCAGUUGUUCUAGUUUCUGACAUCACAUGAUCUUCCGACAUUGAUAUUUCCUGUAAUAGCGUGAAUAUUUCAGAAGUUUUAUGAUAGCAUUAUCUAUAAACUGUAGAAAAGGAUCAAUGGGAUUUUAUGUUUCGACUUCAUAACUGGGUGCAGGCUUUCUCUAGUUGUGGUGAGCAAGAGCUAUUCUCUAGUCACGGUGAGGGGGCUUCUCAUUGCAAUGGUUUCUCUUGCUGCAGAGCAUGGUCUUUAGAGCACGUGGGUUCACUAGCUGCAAAGCCCAGCAGCAUGUGAAAUCUUCCUGGACCCAUGAUC